CGGCGGCGGGACUGGCCCUGCGCCCGGGCACCGCCUGCGCUGCGCCGCCCGGCCUCACUCCGCGGCCCGCCAGGACCCGGCCCCGGUGAACGGGCUCGGGGUGCCGAGGUCCGGCUGCGGGGCCGGGAAGCCACCUCCACCUUGCCGUCUGUUACGACCCCCGAGGCGCAAGGCUGAGCCCCAUCUCGCUAUCCGGGUCCGGAGGGGUUCACCUUAGAAGGAUUUUUUGAAGCUCUUGGCGCUGGCUCUAAAAGAACCCACUUCCUUGCGGAUUUCAGGAGUCAAGAAUCCUUAAACGGAGCCAAUUUGCUUUGUAAAGCCAAUUGCCCAAGUGACUUGAGUUCGAAAGGAGAUACUUCCUGGACAACUGCUAUAAAAACAACAACAAAUACUUUUAUUAAUUCGGGGAGCCUGGUCACCAACUGGAUGCUCAGGGGAGAUGGAACCCUGAGCAGCCCAUGUACAUGGAAGAUCUUUAUUGCAGAGAUCUUCAAACCAGGAAACUGAGGCUAAAGAGUUUAGUAUUCUGCCAAGGCCAGCUAAUAGUUACAGAGCAUGGUUCCAAAUUCAGAGCUGUCGGAAGCUUAAGCCCAUGUGAUGAACCACGAAUGUGAUUUUACCUCAUUUAAGCCUUGCAGCAAACUCUGCCAAGCUGUCUCUACCAGGCCAGAAUUUGGGGCAGGCAAGAUUUUCAGCAUCCCUAAAAUCACACUAAGAAGAUAAACAUGGAAACAGCUUGGAGCUGCCCUACCCAUAGUGAGGUGGUACUGACUGGAAGACAGCUUAAACGAUUUGGAGAAAAGUGGAAUACAUUAAUCUCAGAAAACUCUACCACCUGUAGAAAGAGAGCUAAAAUGGAGACAACCACAGGCAGUCUAAGAUACGCUGAACUACUACAGAAAAUAAUGCAGCAUGAAGGAAUGCUGGAAGGAUCUUCUAAGGGUGUGAGGAUACAGGC
rnacentral:lncRNA from 1 species